UACGUAGGGUGCAGGCGUUAAUCGGAAUUACUGGGCGUAAAGCGUGCGCAGGCGGUUAUUUAAGUCAGGUGUGAAAGCCCUGGGCUUAACCUAGGAAUUGCGCUUGAGACUGGAUAGCUUGGAGUGCGGCAGAGGGAGGUGGAAUUCCACGUGUAGCAGUGAAAUGCGUAGAGAUGUGGAGGAACACCGAUGGCGAAGGCAGCCUCCUGGGCCAGCACUGACGCUCAUGCACGAAAGCGUGGGGAGCAAACAGG
rnacentral:rRNA from 1 species